AUUGAACGCUGGCGGCAGGCCUAACACAUGCAAGUCGAGCGGAUGAAGGGAGCUUGCUCCUGGAUUCAGCGGCGGACGGGUGAGUAAUGCCUAGGAAUCUGCCCGGUAGUGGGGGAUAACGUCCGGAAACGGGCGCUAAUACCGCAUACGUCCUGAGGGAGAAAGUGGGGGAUCUUCGGACCUCACGCUAUCAGAUGAGCCUAGGACGGAUUAGCUAGUUGGUGGGGUAAAGGCCUACCAAGGCGACGAUCCGUAGCUGGUCUGAGAGGAUGAUCAGUCACACUGGAACUGAGACACGGUCCAGACUCCUACGGGAGGCAGCAGUGGGGAAUAUUGGACAAUGGGCGAAAGCCUGAUCCAGCCAUGCCGCGUGUGUGAAGAAGGUCUUCGGAUUGUAAAGCACUUUAAGUUGGGAGGAAGGGCAGUAAGUUAAUACCUUGCUGUUUUGACGUCACCAACAGAAUAAGCACCGGCUAACUUCGUG
rnacentral:rRNA from 1 species